UUUUAAUUGAAGGCUUGUAUGAAGGGUUGGACAAAGGAUAAGCUGUCUUUUUUCUUGUUUUUGAAUUUGUCUUUUAAGUGCAAAGACUUAAAUUAUUUUAAGGGACGAUAAGACCCUAUAAAUCUUUAUAUUAAUAUGUUUUUAUAUUAAUUUUUAAUGUUUAUAAAGAUAAAAAUAUAAAAUAUUGUGUUGGGGUGAUGAGAAUAAUUAAUAAACUGUUCUAAAUAAAAACAAAGUUAUUUGAAGAAAUAGUAGAUCCUUUUUUAAGAUUAAAAGUUUAAGUUACUUUAGGGAUAACAGCGUUAUUUUUUUUGAGAGUUCUAAUCGAAAAAAAAGUUUGCGACCUCGAUGUUGAAUUAAAAUUUCUUUAUGGUGUAGCCGUUAUAAGAGAGAGUCUGUUCGACUUUUAAAAUUUUACGUGAUCU
rnacentral:rRNA from 4 species